rnacentral:rRNA from 1 species
AUUGAACGCUGGCGGCAGGCCUAACACAUGCAAGUCGAGCGGAGCGGCGGACGGGUGAGUAAUGCCUAGGAAUCUGCCUGGUAGUGGGGGAUAACGUCCGGAAACGGGCGCUAAUACCGCAUACUACCAGAUGAGCCUAGGCCGGAUUGGCUAGUUGGUGGGGUAAAGGCCUACCAAGGCUACGAUCCUUACCUGGUCUGAGAUGAUGAUCAGUCACACGGGAAGUGAGACACGGUCCAGACUCCUACGGGAGGCAGCAGAGGGGAAUAUUGGACAAUGGGCGAAAGCCUGAUCAAGCCAUGCCGCGUGUGUGAAGAAGGUCUUCAGAUUGUAAAGCACUUUAAGUUAGGAGGCGUUACCAACAGAAGAAGCACCGGCUAACUUCGUGCCAGCAGCCGCGGUAAUAC